GGAAGGGCUGUAGCUCAGUGGCACAACAUCUGCUUUGCAUGCAGAAGGUCACAGGUUCAAUGCCCAGCAUGCCUGUGGUUUCCC